GGGAUGAGCUGUGGAUAGGGGUGAAAGGCCAAUCAAACUUCGUGAUAGCUGGUUCUCUCCGAAAUGCAUUUAGGUGCAGCGUCGUAUUAUAGCUUGGUGGAGGUAGAGCGACUGGUUGGUUGAGCGGGACUACAAUCUUAGCAAUGUCAGCCAAACUCCGAAUGCCAGUGAAGUCAGAAUACGGCAGUGAGACUGCGGGGGAUAAGCUCCGUGGGUCGAGAGGGAAACAGCCCAGAUCGCCGGCUAAGGUCCCCAAGUCGUGGCUAAGUGGGAAAGGAUGUGGGACUCCCAAAACAACCAGGAGGUUGGCUUAGAAGCAGCCAUCCUUGAAAGAGUGCGUAAUAGCUCACUGGUCGAGUGGUUCUGCGCCGACAAUGUAGCGGGGCUCAAGUACACCGCCGAAGCCGCGGCAAACAUUUUGUUUGGGUAGGGGAGCGUCGUGCAUGGGUUGAAGCGUUACCGUAAGGAGGCGUGGACUGUGUGCGAGUGAGAAUGCAGGCAUGAGUAACGAAUGAUAUGUGGAAAACAUAUCCGCCGGAUGACUAAGGGUUCCUGGGUCAAGUUCGUCUUCCCAGGGUGAGUCGGGACCUAAGGCGAGGCCG
rnacentral:rRNA from 1 species